rnacentral:lncRNA from 1 species
UAAUUGAAAUAUAGAACCCCUUUUGUUUAGCUGUGUGCUAGCAAAUAUUCACAGAGUGAUCUCAACCCCUUGCUCUUGUGAUUUCCUCGUGGGAUUACAUAGGCGGCGGCUUCAUCCGCUCCCAAUUGGUGCUCCUACUCCCUUCAAGGUAUCCCUUGAUUGAUUGUAGGUUGUGUUGGUUGGUUCUUUGAGAUUGUGGUUGGGUGAAUCCUCGAUUCAGGUUGCCAGUUAAGACGGUGGUUGGCUUCGAGUUUUAUUUGCCAGGUUGCACUAGUUAUCGCUACUUGGAGUAAGUUAUCCAGCUGUUCUUCAGCUAGUUACCGGUGUUCUUCCUACGUCAUGAAGAUCGGGCCAACAUGUCGCAUCAUCUGGUAUCAAAGCUUUCGUUACUACGGUAGGAAUUUUAUCCCUAGCUACAUAUAUAUUUUGCAUCGUCCUAUCCACCAAAAAGCUAGAAAAAUAUAUUGCUUAGACCUUUGUUUCAAUAUGUUAUUUUAGUGAGUUCGGUUAAGUCGCAGUCCAUUAGAGUCUUUGUUUUGUUUGCUGAUCAUUUCUCCUUUGCGUGUUCUUUGUGCCUCAUUAUAUCUAAAAAUCUCCACACACAAAAAAAAAAUCUCUAGAGCCUAAAUCAUCCUUUGUGUUAUCUUUGAUCCUAUCAAGUUAUCGUUUCUGGUUGUGCUUUGUUUCUAUCAUCAAGUUUGCAAGUAUUAUAUCAGAUCAUUGUGUUUAGUUAUAAAAAAAAAAGUGUGUCAAAAAAAAGGAGAAGAAAGAAAAGAAAAAAAAUCAGAAAGAAAGUUGCAAGAUCAGGUUAUGUCAAGUGCAUCAUUGCUGAAAGUUUUUGUAUUGAGUUGAACAACCAGUUUGCUAUCUUUGUUUGGUGCAAUAUUUUGGUUGGGUCUGAUUGCAACACUUGCAUUGCAAUCAUACUCCUUGUUUGCAUCAAAUCUGAAUUUUCUUUGCGCAUGUGUGUGAUCAUUUACUUCUUUCAUAUCUUGUGGUCAGCACUAGGCAGAGAACUUGUAGUUUGGAUUGUUACUUGACUUUACAAUAACUAGAAUUCAGAUUGCAUUCCUUGUGUAUUACUCCCCACCAAGCGCCACAUAAAAACCAUCAUAAUCGGUACUCUAUGUUCUUGUAUUCGCCUCGCCAUCACUUUCAGUUGCCACCACACAUUUGUUUUCCUUGUAAUCCGCAGCAGAGGAAUUCAUAAGAGCUUUAGUGGUUAGAG